CGUAGGGUGCGAGCGUUAAUCGGAAUUACUGGGCGUAAAGCGUGCGCAGGCGGUUUAGUAAGACAGGCGUGAAAUCCCCGGGCUCAACCUGGGAACUGCGCUUGUGACUGCUAAGCUAGAGUACGGCAGAGGGGGUGGAAUUCCACGUGUAGCAGUGAAAUGCGUAGAGAUGUGGAGGAACACCAAUGGCGAAGGCAGCCCCCUGGGUCGAUACUGACGCUCAUGCACGAAAGCGUGGGUAGCAAACAGGAUUAGAUACCCUGGUAGUCCACGCCCUAAACGAUGCCAACUAGGUGUUGGGAGGGUAAAACCUUUUAGUACCGGAGCUAACGCGUGAAGUUGACCGCCUGGGGAGUACGGCCGCAAGGUUA
rnacentral:rRNA from 1 species